rnacentral:misc_RNA from 1 species
AACCUAGCACACCUGCGGUGUGUACCUGCGGAGGGAUCAUUACCGAGUUUACAACUCCCAAACCCCUGUGAACAUACCUAUACGUUGCCUCGGCGGAUCAGCCCGCGCCCCGUAAAACGGGACGGCCCGCCCGAGGACCCUAAACUCUGUUUUUAGUGGAACUUCUGAGUAAAACAAACAAAUAAAUCAAAACUUUCAGCAACGGAUCU